rnacentral:rRNA from 2 species
UACAGAGACUGCAAGCGUUAUUCGGAUUCACUGGGCGUAAAGGGUGCGCAGGUGGUUGUGUGUGUCAGAUGUGAAAUCCCGGAGCUUAACUCCGGAACUGCGUCUGAAACUGCACGACUAGAGCAUUGGAGAGGGUAGUGGAAUUCACGGUGUAGCAGUGAAAUGCGUAGAUAUCGUGAGGAACACCAGAGGCGAAGGCGACUACCUGGACAAUUGCUGACACUCAGGCACGAAAGCAUGGGGAGCAAAAGGG